UCCGGACCUUAGUCUAAGACCCGGAGAGCACGGGAGCAAGCGGAACCCAACAGAGAGCUACCCUCAAUGAGCGUGCUUCCUAAAGAGAACAAAGUGACCGUGUAGUAUGACUGGAGGAUGGACGCAGGACUCACCGGCAAGAAACAGAUGAGAAGAAUAAACAGCUUGAAGAUGAGCCCAUGCCAAGCGGUGUGGUUUGGUUCUCCGGAGCUUACCUGGAGACAUGGCCACCCUGGAAGGUGGGCCAGUGCAUAUCAAGGUUGCUGUAUGAUCGAUCCCUGACUCACCAUCCCACCAGCUCAGGAUGGGCUCAGGAACUUCUGAUUUCUGGCUUGGGUCAUCAUUGAAGAAUGGACAGAACAGAUCAUCAAUUCGGAUAAUACAGAAUUAAAAAGAAAUGAGACCAAAAUGAAAGGAGAUUAAAAAAAUCGAAAUUUGACCUUCACCCUGAAAAGUAAUACCUCUCUCUUCAAUCAUCACUGUUAAUAGUCAGCGACGGUGCCUGCAUGCAAUUAAAACAUCUGGUUGAAAAAUACAUGUUUCAGAAUCUCAGCAGCACACGGCCCAAGAAUGCAAUUGCAGGCAUUGGACGUGAAGGGACAGUACCAUAAAGUUUUCCAGCUGGAAUUUUAGGAGCUCACUGUUCCUGAAUUUCUUCUGAGAUGAAGCACAGGGGAGAGUGUAUUCCAAGUCCUUUCUUCCUGUGGUUCUGAUGCAACAGGCGAAGAGGCUGCGCUGAAGCCAUUAAAGGCAUAUUCUCAAGAUGCUUAUGUGAUUUCUCCACCUUAUCUCACUUGAGGAAGAAACCCGGUCAAGGAAAAGGAAGAAACAGAAGGUUCUCAGGUAAAUGUCCUGUCCUGGGUCAGUGCAGUGUC